GUACCUUGUAAUCCUUUGAUAAGGCAAAGGAGCAUCCACCUCCGGGCCGAGGAAUCCGGAGUAACCAGGGGAA
rnacentral:ncRNA from 1 species